rnacentral:rRNA from 1 species
GAUGAACGCUGGCGGCGUGCCUAAUACAUGCAAGUCGAGCGAACAGACGAGGAGCUUGCUCCUCUGACGUUAGCGGCGGACGGGUGAGUAACACGUGGAUAACCUACCUAUAAGACUGGGAUAACUUCGGGAAACCGGAGCUAAUACCGGAUAAUAUAUUGAACCGCAUGGUUCAAUAGUGAAAGACGGUUUUGCUGUCACUUAUAGAUGGAUCCGCGCCGCAUUAGCUAGUUGGUAAGGUAACGGCUUACCAAGGCAACGAUGCGUAGCCGACCUGAGAGGGUGAUCGGCCACACUAGAACUGAGACACGGUCCAGACUCCUACGGGAGGCAGCAGUAGGGAAUCUUCCGCAAUGGGCGAAAGCCUGACGGAGCAACGCCGCGUGAGUGAUGAAGGUCUUCGGAUCGUAAAACUCUGUUAUUAGGGAAGAACAAAUGUGUAAGUAACUAUGCACGUCUUGACGGUACCUAAUCAGAAAGUCACGGCUAACUACGUG